rnacentral:rRNA from 1 species
AUUGAACGCUGGCGGCAGGCCUAACACAUGCAAGUCGAGCGGGAACUUCGGUUCUAGCGGCGGACGGGUGAGUAAUGCGUAGGAAGCUACCCGACAGAGGGGGAUACCAGUUGGAAACGACUGUUAAUACCGCAUAAUGUCUACGGACCAAAGUGUGGGACCUUCGGGCCACAUGCUGUCGGAUGCGCCUACGUGGGAUUAGCUAGUUGGCGAGGUAAUGGCUCACCAAGGGGACGAUCCCUAGCUGGUUUGAGAGGAUGAUCAGCCACACUGGAACUGAGACACGGUCCAGACUCCUACGGGAGGCAGCAGUGGGAAAUAUUGGACAAUGGGCGAAAGCCUGAUCCAGCCAUGCCGCGUGUGUGAAGAAGGCCUUCGGGUUGUAAAGCACUUUCAGUAGGGAGGAAGAGUUGAGUGUUAAUAGUACUCAGCUUUGACGUUACCUACAGAAGAAGCACCGGCUAACUCUGUGCCAGCAGCCGCCGUAACAC